CCUACGGGAUGCAGCAGUGGGGAAUAUUGGACAAUGGGCGAAAGCCUGAUCCAGCCAUGCCGCGUGUGUGAAGAAGGCCUUCGGGUUGUAAAGCACUUUCAGUGGGGAAGAAAGCCUUGGGGCUAAUACCCUCGAGGAAGGACAUCACCCACAGAAGAAGCACCGGCUAACUCCGUACCAGCAGCCGCGGUAAUACGGAGGGUGCGAGCGUUAAUCGGAAUUACUGGGCGUAAAGCGCGCGUAGGCGGUCUGAUAAGCCGGUUGUGAAAGCCCCGGGCUCAACCUGGGAACGGCAUCCGGAACUGUCAGGCUAGAGUGCAGGAGAGGAAGGUAGAAUUCCCGGUGUAGCGGUGAAAUGCGUAGAGAUCGGGAGGAAUACCAGUGGCGAAGGCGGCCUUCUGGACUGACACUGACGCUGAGGUGCGAAAGCGUGGGUAGCAAACAGGAUUAGAUACCCGUGUAGUC
rnacentral:rRNA from 1 species